GCGCCCGUAGCUCAGUCGGUAGAGCAGCUCCCUUUUAAGGAGAUGGUCGCAGGUUCGAUUCCUGCCGGGCGCACAA
rnacentral:tRNA from 3 species